ACGCACGCUGGCGGCGUGCUUAACCCAUGCCAGUCGAACGGAAAGGCCCUGCUUUUGUGGGGUGCUCGAGUGGCGAACGGGUGAGUAACACGUGAGUAACCUGCCCUUGACUUUGGGAUAACUUCAGGAAACUGGGGCUAAUACCGGAUAGGAGCUCCUGCUGCAUGGUGGGGGUUGGAAAGUUUCGGCGGUUGGGGAUGGACUCGCGGCUUAUCAGCUUGUUGGUGGGGUAGUGGCUUACCAAGGCUUUGACGGGUAGCCGGCCUGAGAGGGUGACCGGCCACAUUGGGACUGAGAUACGGCCCAGACUCCUACGGGAGGCAGCAGUGGGGAAUAUUGCACAAUGGGCGGAAGCCUGAUGCAGCAACGCCGCGUGCGGGAUGACGGCCUUCGGGUUGUAAACCGCUUUCGCCUGUGACGAGGCGUGAGUGACGGUAAUGGGUAAAGAAGCACCGGCUAACUACGUG
rnacentral:rRNA from 1 species